AGGUCCUUCCCUCCUAGUCCCCAGAAGGAACUAACCCUGAUCUUGGACUUCUAGCCUCCAGAAUUGUGAGAAAAUAAGUGUCUGCUGUUUGAAAUGAGUCUGUGGCACUUUGUUAUGGCAGCCCGAGCAAAAUAAUACACGAGCCCUCAGAGAGAGCCUGACUGAGAAGGAAGAUAACAGAGGAAAACAGAGGUGAGAAGUGGAAAAAGACAGAGCCCUGCAUGUAGUUGUUCCUUAGGAUCUACCCAAGACCUUUCAGGAACCUGAACUAGGACCCUGCAGCAAACCCCACUUUGACUGUGCAGAUGAGGAUGACACCCUGGGACAGCAGAGAACAACAGGGAAGGGACGUAGCAUGCUGCCGACCUUGCACUGCAGAGCGCUGCCUUCCUUCUCAGUCUGGCUGGCUCACUGUUACCUGAAGGAGAAGAAAUCACCACUGAAGGAACUAACUGAAAGCGAGGAAAACAAGGUCUGCUGAGCCAGCAUGCUGUCCUUCCUUUGAAUGGUUCUGCAAAACCAUGGUGCUGAACUGUGACAAGAAAGGCCCUUUGUCCCUGAUUUCCUGAUGCUCGAGUCAGCACGUCAUUUCUGAGAACCAGUGUGGGCCCCAGCACUGGGUUGGACCUACCUAUGGAGAGCACAAUACAAGGAACCUGCUUCCCUCAAGUGAACCUUCUUCUCAAGGGACAACACUUAACCUUCCAGAAUACAGAAAGCAAAAGGAUCCCUCUGAAGGCAUGCUGUCUCCCAGGUCUCAGUCACGAAAAUGCGUUCGUGCGGGAGAGACCACAGGUCAUGCGGCAGUGUGGUGGAAGGAGGGGAGAAGUCCCUGGGGCUGCAGCAGCCCAGGUUGCUUUCUUGGAAGAGUUGGCACCGAGCUGUGUCUGGAACAACGAGUUGGGCUUGACUGUGUGGAGAAGAACCAGAGAAACUUUGCUUGGUUGGGGAGGGAGGAGGCGGGUUGAUGGCAAGAACUUUUAAGUACCUAACUGCCAGGGAGCCAAAGCCUUGGGGAAGCCCACUUUAAACUGUACUCAACUUCAAAAUUAAUAUCUAUUCCCAUGAAUUCCAAUUUCCUAUUCUGUGAAUCCCCUAACAAGGUAUUCCACCUGCAGCCUAAAAAAUUCAGAGGGAACAUUGAUCCUAAUACCAAAAAGUGGAUUUCCUACUGCAUAAAUACAUGAAGCUGGACUAUGGUAGAAAUUCUCCUUAAGAACAGAAAGUGACCAGGGGUGCCUGGCUGGCUCAGUCGAAGAGCAUGUGAUUCUUGGUCUCAGGGUCAUGAGUUUGAGCCCC